UCAUAAGCUCCAUUUGUAGCAAUGCCUGCCAGGCACAGAAAGCCAGAAGACGCCCAAGAGCUGAAGGAAGGCUUGUAACUGCUUUCUUUGAGGAAAACCAAAGACAGCAAGAGCAACUUUGGACAGGGUAGGAAGUACAUCACAAUGGCAGGAUGGUUCAAGAAAUAAAGCAGAAAAUCAGCAGAGAGAGGAUUCUGUGGAGUAUUUACAAAUGAUCUUGGGCUUGACUCAAGUGGCUGCCAAAUCUAAAAGAGAUCCCUUAGCAGGUUUUCGUGAAACAUGGGUUGAAAUCCCUACUCUUUGCAGGACAGGAAAGGGGAACUCCAGGUUCUCUUCAG